GAAUGGUAUUUACUGAGCGAUGGAGCGCCAGUUCAGUACUCUGCUCUUGUAGGAAAGGGUUGUGUGGUCCCGUCGUCUCUCUGAGCAAACUCCUGAUUCUCUGGAAACAUGGCUGACAAACCCGACAUCACUGAGGUGAGCCGGUUUGACAAAACCAAGCUGAAGAAAACUGAGACGCAAGAGAAAAACACACUGCCCUCCAAAGAAACCAUUGAACAGGAGAAGGCAGUGUCUACUUCAUGAAGAUCAAACCUCCCAGUCACUCUUCAGCCACAGGAUAGAUCCAUUCCCACUUUCAGCAUUGAAACACUCAACUAUAAUGGCUCUACAUCCAUCAUCUCCAGCUUCACUCCAUGGUCCUCUGGCUUCAUGUGGACAUUGGAGCUUGGGUCACCUGUCGCUCGGGCCUCGUUUUCAGUGUGGCAUUAAGAACCUGGCACAAUGUGAUCCUCUUCUAAAACCUCUGGCUGCCUUUGAAUGCUCACUAAGGUGUCUAUGUAAAUUUGGAAUUCACACUUGGAUAUUAAAAAUGAAAUGGAAUUAA